ACGGGUGAGUAAUGCAUCGGAACGUGCCCAGUCGUGGGGGAUAACGUAGCGAAAGUUACGCUAAUACCGCAUACGUCCUGAGGGAGAAAGCGGGGGACCGUAAGGCCUCGCGCGAUUGGAGCGGCCGAUGUCGGAUUAGCUAGUUGGUGAGGUAAAGGCUCACCAAGGCGACGAUCCGUAGCUGGUCUGAGAGGAUGAUCAGCCACACUGGGACUGAGACACGGCCCAGACUCCUACGGGAGGCAGCAGUGGGGAAUUUUGGACAAUGGGCGAAAGCCUGAUCCAGCCAUGCCGCGUGAGUGAAGAAGGCCUUCGGGUUGUAAAGCUCUUUCGGACGGAAAGAAAUCGGGUGGGUGAAUAAUCCAUCUGGAUGACGGUACCGUAAGAAGAAGCACCGGCUAACUACGUGCCAGCAGCCGCGGUAAUACGUAGGGUGCGAGCGUUAAUCGGAAUUACUGGGCGUAAAGCGUGCGCAGGCGGUUGUGCAAGACAGGUGUGAAAUCCCCGGGCUUAACCUGGGAACUGCGCUUGUGACUGCACGACUGGAGUACGGCAGAGGGGGGUGGAAUUCCUGGUGUAGCAGUGAAAUGCGUA
rnacentral:rRNA from 1 species